rnacentral:rRNA from 1 species
GACGUAGGGCGCGAGCGUUGUCCGGAAUUACUGGGCGUAAAGCGCACGUAGGCGGCUUUGUAAGUUAGAGGUGAAAGCCCGGGGCUCAACUCCGGAACUGCCUUUAAGACUGCAUCGCUAGAAUUGUGGAGAGGUGAGUGGAAUUCCGAGUGUAGAGGUGAAAUUCGUAGAUAUUCGGAAGAACACCAGUGGCGAAGGCGACUCACUGGACACAUAUUGACGCUGAGGUGCGAAAGCGUGGGGAGCAAACAGG